rnacentral:lncRNA from 1 species
UUGCCUUACCCUAUUUUAUAGUAGAACGCGGUAUGGACCCGCCAUUAAUGAUGCAGACAACUUGGGAGGUGUCAAAUCACCGCGGGCUGUCAAGUCAUCGUGGGCUGUCAAGUCACUGGGAUCAGUCUGUGUCUUUGGCAGGACAAUGCCCCAAGGCGGCCAUGCCGCAUGUCCUUGAUAGGACAACUGCCCAUAGCGGUCGUACAGCAUUUGGG